rnacentral:rRNA from 1 species
CCGAUGAGGUGGAAACGGACAGAGCUGGCGUAUCUGGCCUGCAUUCAGCCGCGCGCUGUAGGCCCCACUGUUUGCUGCACUCCAGACUGGGAAGGCGGCGUGGGUGUCGACGGCGAGCGGUGCAUUUGCAGGUGGAGUGCGCCGAGGUGCUCGGCUCAGCGGCAUGAGCUCAGCUUUGAGGCUGACCGCGCAAGCGGAAGGUACCCGGGCUGGGGGAGUGUUGUUUGUGCUGGGUGUUGUGGCUGUGGUAUCGGGCCCGUGUGGGUGCUGAGCUGGCGGUCGGUGGCGGUCGCGUGCGACACGUGCCAGCAGUCAGUUCGGUCCUGCUCGAGCUCUCAGCGGCCCAGCCUCGGUGUAAAAGCCGGUCAUCUGUCCGACCCGUCUUGAAACACGGACCAAGGAGUUUAGCGUGUGCGCGAGUCAUUGGGCGUUGAAAACCCAAAGGCGCAAUGAAAGUGAAGGUCUGCCUUGUGCAGCUGAUGUGUGAUCCCGGGCGCUUCGGCGGCCGGGCGCAACAUAGUCCCGUCCCGACUGCAUGCAGUGGGGCGGAGACAGAGCGUACGCGCUGAG